rnacentral:lncRNA from 1 species
UCUCGUCAGUUGAAGACGCACGAACAAAAAUAUGCCGAAUCAUGAUUGGAACUGCGGCCGUUAUAUUUGCUUUAUUUAAAGAGUUGGAGGCCAUUCAUUGUACGGAGAUCGGUUUGAGCGUGUUUUCAGACCACAAGAGUUUGAAAUAUUGUUUCACACAGUAAUGACUUGAACUUGAGGCAACGGCGUUGGAGGAGUACAGGAAGACUAUGACUUCGAUUUAAAAAUCAUCCCGGGAAAGGCUAAAGUUGUGGCCGAGCACUUAAGUAGGAAAUCGCUUGGUGUUUUUGGCGAGAAUUUCCCAUCCAUGAGUUGGAAAUGCACGUUCAAGAUACGGUGAGUGAUUGAUGUACUUCUCGGCGAGACGAAUGAGUGUGCUACGUUAUUCACAUUGUCUGCAGAGCCAUCACUCAUUAGUAGGGCAUUGAGGCACAACAGCAUGAUGUGGAGCAAAAGACUAUUUGGCGACCGCAUUGCUAGAAAUGUAGGACCAACAGAUUGGGUUUUUUAACAAUGAGGAUCAGAGUUUGAGAUAUAAGUCUAGAUUGUUGUGCCAUGUCUAGUAGAAGAAACGAUGUUUUCAUGGUUCCUCAUUCACGACUUGCAGUUCACCUGAGAGGGGGAACAAAGAUGUAUCAUGAUUUGUGUCGCCAAUUUGGUGGAGACGAAUUGAAGAAAGAUGUUGCUUUAUUCGUUUCAAGGUGUUUAUGACUUGUCAGCAAGUGAAAGCCGAAAACCCAGAAGCCAGCAGGUUUGACUACAACAUUACCAGUGCAGAAGUGGAAAUGGCGCCACAUCACUAUGGACUUUGUUACGGGUUUGCCUAGACAUUGAGAGGGCAUGAUUGCCGUUUGGGUCAUGAUGAUGUUUGACAAAAUCCGCGCAUUUUCUUGCAUAUACGUUUGUCAAAAUUCGGCAGAGAUCUUGGUGUUCUUUAUGUUCGAGCGAUCGUUAGACUUCAUGGGGUUCCGGUACGAUAGUUUCGGAUAGAGAUCCACGUUUACAUCGCUCUUUUGGAAGGGAUGCAAUCCGCCCUAGGAUCGGAUUUGAGAUUAGCCGUGCGUUUAUCCUCAGACUAUGGGCAGUCUGAGCGUUACGAUUCAGAUUUUGGAGGAGGACAUGCUUCGAGCAUGCUACUUGAGUUUGGGGCGAUCAUGGGCGGAUCAUCUACAUUUGGUAGAGUUCGCAUUAAACAAUAGUUAUCAGGCGAGCAUCGGUAUAUGGCACCUUUUGAGGCAUUGUACGGAAGACAUGUAGGCACCCGAGGUGUUGAACACGUGGAGAGGCAGUCCUUGCAAAAGCAGAAUGGGUUCGUGAUACGACAGAAGAAGGUAGUAUUGAUUAGAAAGAAAGCAUGUACUCACGGCGCAGAGUAGUCAGAAAGAGUUACGGCCGAUCGAAAGGAAAAGUCAUUUGGAAUUGCGUUGGGAUCAAGUUAUUCUUAAGGGGUUUUCACAUAAGAAGGGUUUGAUGCGCUUUGGACAUAACGGAAGCUGUUCACCAAGGUUCAUUGGACCAUUGGAUUCUUGAUCGUUAUGGGAACCGUGGCAUACCGUCUUGCUUUGCACCGAGUGGCCAAUGUGCACAAUGUGUUUCAUGUUUCCAUGCUGAGAAAUAUGAGCCGAUCCUUCCCACGUUUGGAAAUAUGAGCCCGAUCCUUCCCAUGUUUCCAUGCUGAGGAAAUUAUUUUAUUUAAUUUUCAUAGAUAUAUAUAUAUAUAUAGAUAAUAUAUAUAUAUUUUAGACUUUGGUAUGUUGUUAUACGUUUAAAUUGACGAUUUUAAACUUGUGGGAUUAAAUUAAAGAAGACAUUUAAAUUGAGAUGAUUUAUAAUGAAUUAAAAAAGUUGGAGGGGUUUAAAGUGUAAUUUUUUAUAUAAAAAAUUUAAUCCCAGUUGGUUGCGGGCGCCGAAAGUGCGGCGCCGGAAGAAAAAGGAAAAAGAAAAGAAAAAAGAAACAGAAAAAGAAAAAAGAAGAAAUAAUAAAAUAAUAAAAUAAAAAAUAAUAAAAUAAUAUAAUAAAAUAAUAAAAUAAUAAAAUAAUAAAAUAAUAAACUAAUUAAUAAUAUAUAUAAAAAAUAUUUUAAAUCUAUUAUAUAUAAACUAGGGGAGGAAGUCGGAUGGAAGGAGAGAGAAAGAAAGAGAAGAGAGAGAGAGAGAAAAGAAAUGAGGGAAAUGAUAUGGUGGGCGUUAGUUUUUGUUUAUGAAAGAUAGGGGGUGCAGAUACAACGGUGAGAUGACGUUGGAUUUAUGCAAAUUUUAGUUAUGACGAUCAUGGGAAGGAGUGAUCUUUAAUCCGGACGGUGACUGGAUUCCGCGAGUGUCAAAUUCUAUUUGAGGUAAAAGGGGGUUAGUUUGUUUGGGUUUUACUUUGGGUUUUGGUAAUAGCUUAUAUAAAGUAUUAUUAAAUAUUAUUUUUUUGUAUUACUUGAAAUGGAAAAAUUUAUUUUGAUGAGCAUAAAUUAUUUUUAGCGAAAAUUAAGAUGAUAGAAAUAUGGAAAAU